UCUCCCCUACCGCCCCGACCCAACCUCUGGCUCCCGCCGGGCGCCGCCACCCGCGCCUCCCUCCGGUCGCCGCCCCCGGCCAUCCGGCGCCGCCAGCCGCGCCACCCGGCUGCCGCUGCCAGCCGCUCCUCCCUCCUGACGACUGCUGCCACCAGCCGUCAUAGCCAUCGCGUACACCAUCCUCAUCAACCAGGACGACAACAUCCUCAAGCACCUUCCCUCACUCUGUGACCCCUCCUCCCCGUCCGGCGGCCUCUUGCGGCGCCGUGCCCAACCGCGGAAGAUGUCCCUUUCCAAGCCUCUCUCGGCGCGCCGCCUCGUGCCGGCGCUCUUCCCGCUCGCGCACGCGGACGCCGCCUCGGCCGCUGCGGCACGCCGCGAGCGCCGCCAGGACACGUUCGUCGCGACGCCCCCCGUCCCCGCGCCCUCCCCGAAGGCCGUGCGCCUCGCGGAGCCGCUCCCCACGCUGGCGCCGUCCCGCCUGGCGCUCCACAACCGGAUCCUCGCGCUCCUCUCGGGCCCUCAGGCCGACCUCCCGGAGGCGGCGCUCCUCACCCGCCACGCGCUCCACUCCAACUGCCGCCCUUCCUCCUUCACCUGCACCGCCGUCCUCGCAGCGCUCCUCCGCGCGCGCCGCUUCAAUGACUUCUUUGCGUUGCACCGCUUCGCCCUCCAGGCUGCCGUCCCGCCCACUGCCGCCACGCACGUGCUCUACCUCUCCGCGCUCGCAGCGCGCCGACUCCCUGACGACGCGCUCCAUCACCUCCGCCUCCUCGCCCGGCCCAGGUCCCCCGUGCCGCCCUCCCCUACGGCCUAUCGCGUCGUCGUCGAGUGCCUGGUGGCCGACCACGGAAGACUCGCAGAUGCCGUCCUUCUCAAGGAUGAGAUGCUCGACUCUGGGGUUGUGGGGCCCGGAUCCAAAGGUCUACAGCCUCCUCAUGGUUGGAUUCGUGGGUGCUGGGGAUGGAGCCAAAGCUGUGGAGCUAUACCAAGAGCUCACGGACAAGGUUGGGGGCAAGCCGGUUCUUGAUGGCAUCGUGUAUGGAAGUCUCAUGAAGGCGUAUUUCCUUAUAGGAAUGGAGGAGAAGGCUAUGGAGUGCUACAAAGAGGUGCUUGGUGUUGAAUCGGAGGUGAGGUUUGGGGCUGAGAGCUACAAUGAGGUGGUUGAUGCACUUGGACAGCAUGGGAGGUUGGAGGAUGCACUCAAUCUGUUCGACAGAAUGCUCGGGGAGCAUGACCCUCCACUGCGGGUUGCAGUUGAUCUGAGAAGCUUUAGGGUGAUGGUCGAUGCCUAUUGUGCUGCUGGGAGAUUUGAAGAUGCAAUUGCAGUGUUCAGAAGGAUGGGGGAGUGGAAGCUGGAGCCAGAUGUUGCAUCCUAUAAUAAUUUGAUUCGGCAUCUGGGACUUAACCAAUUGAUAAGUGAGGUGGAGAUGCUCUACAAUAAGAUGUGCGAAUGUGGUGUUGGUGCGAAUGAGGAGACACUUGUACUACUCAUGGAAUCAUGCUUCAGUGUUGAUCGCAUUGAUGAUGGCAUCUCUUACUUUGACAAAAUGGAUGGAUUGGAGCUGAAGCCUGAUGCGAUCACAUAUCAUAAACUUCUUGGUGGCCUGGUGGGUUUCAGUAUGCUUGAUAAGGCUCAGGAAUAUUUUGAUCAGAUGAAAGGGAAGGGAGUUAGCCCAAGCAUCUCAAGCUAUGAGACAUUGCUGAAGGCAUAUGUUGCUGCUGGUCAGUUGGAUGAUGCGGCCAACAUUGCAAAAGCUAUUCUUUUGGAUGAGAAGGUUGUCUUCAGUGACGAAAUGAGGGAGCUCUUGGAAGGAGCUCUACGUGGAGGCGGGCGGGAAGAUGACAUUACCAAGUUAUAUGAGGAUGUGGAGAGGCAACAUGCUGAAGCAGAUGCCCGAGCCGCGGAAGAGAAGGCGAGGGCAGAGGCUCUUGUCAAGGAAGAGAGGGAGAGAAGGAGGGCAGAGGCUGCUGCUAAGGAUGAGGAUGCGGCUAAAGCCAGUGCUGCUGCUAUUGAAGCUAUCCUAGCCCAUAAAAGGAAGAAGGAGAGUGAAGUAUCGCCUGCUCCUGAUGCAAACACCCUGGAUGGUGGCUUUCUCAGUAAGCUAGGCCUUAGAUCAGCUGGAGAAGGUGCACUUCAAGGCACUCCGCAAAUUACAGAAGGGAUGGGAGGCGACGGGCAGGGACAACUGCGAUGACCACGAGAAAUCCUAUACAUCCAGACAAGCUUCUAAAGUCAGCUGUAGUUCACAGUGUCCCAGAUAUGUCGCUUUUAUUUGAGGAUAAAACAUGUAGGAGAUGAUCGUAUUCAGGCAUAGUUGUGCUUAGGAGAUGAACUGCAGUUGGUAGAAGUUACAGUAUAUUGUGCCAAUUUCUAUUUCUGUAAUCAUGAAACUCAUGAUUUGCUAAAAAAUUUUGAAGUAAAAUUAAUCCUCUUUGGCAUGUCCUUCAAAUCAGCACAUAAGCAAAGCCUCCGGAGAAAAUGAAAGCUGGAGGCACUCACCACGUUACAGUGAAAUAUUAGAAAACUGGAAGAUAUAUUUGACUAUGCCAUAUCUGAUGAUGUAUUACAAACUGGUGAGCAUUCAUAAGCUUCAUUUUUUGAUAGCGCAAAACCAUGAAAGUUCAGAUACCUGAGCUCUACUUUAAACUGUUAAGACACUUGCUAAUGGAUGUAAAUGUUGAGUCCAAAAGUUAUCCUAUUAUGAUUUUACAUUGCCAUCAUUUCUUUUUGCUUGGAGUGCAGCAUAAGAGCUCAAUGUUUGCUUCCAAGUUCUGGGGUUCUUAUAGUCAUUGAUAAGAUUCGCGCAGCCCAUCACUCGUUCUAGAAGAAUGUUACAGUUAAUUCAUUGCCUGCUGCUUGCAUCUCUUAAGUUCAAUUUUGGUUAAGCUGUGUAUGCAGGUUUGCUCUGGACAGUUUAGUACAUUUAUGGGUAUUUUGUUCUUCGGAUCCAUUUUUUUUUUACAUUUACUCAUCGACAUAGUUUUAACCCCUUCCACUAAGGCAAUGAACAUUUGUAAUUGUGCUUGCAGGUUAUAGUACCCGGAAAGAACAAAAUGUUGGAUGUAAGAUUAUUGGUUCACCUAUUCCUGUUCAUUUUGCCAACACAGAUAAUCUUCCUAUUAAAUUGGGAUUACAAGUACAUUCAUGAGAACAAAAUCUGUAGAUACUUCUGCUGGUAGAAUAAGAUGCUGGGAGCUGAAAAGAAAUUGCUGGCCUUUAAGCUGGAGGCAAGUUUCAUUUCCAUUACUUAAAACGGAAAUACCGGCAGUUUGGUAUACACCCAGAAGGGGAAAGGGAAAGCCCAAAGGAGAUCUAACCUGAUUCAAGCUAGACCACCUUAGUUUUGACACCCAGCAUUCCCAGGCGCUUGGAACACUUGAUCAUCUCCAGCAGAUUACUUAUCCUUCUCCCUAACUAAAAGUCUGUCCUUUUGGUAAUGGGAGGUGAUCCAGUAACCAAUUCUAUCGCCAAUACCAAAAAAUUUUUGGUGAUCGCCAAAACACACCUCCCUUUUGCUCAAUGUAGGGUAUUCCCCCCUCCAUCCUAUUCAGUUUGGAAGCCCACUUCCUGGCGGGGAUCCCCCGCGCCCAACAUGCGCCUUUGGAAGCCCUGGUGCGUGGGGGUUUCGGGCCCGGGUAAGCCCAGUUUCCCAGCGGAAUAGCGCCCGGCCUAUAGACAUCGGGCAGCACUCCCCGUCCCUCCUCGUUUCGCUCCGCUCGGCUCCGCGAGCUCGAGUGGGAGAGUGCCGCAGCCGCAUGUCGAUCUCGUCCUCCGACCUCGCAACCGCAGCGUCUUCUCCACUGGUGUCUUUGCAGCCACCUCCUCCUUCGCAUCAGAUCCUGCUGAAGAAGACUUGCGGUUAGGAGCAGAGCAAGAUUCGGGCAUGAGCCGAACGCAGUGAGCAGGUGAUCUGACACAGGCACUGCUCUCCCUCUCCCCCUUCCCAGGUGGACCUCUCGUUCCAGAGCACUUAGUGGUACCAAUGCAUAUAUAGAAGUUGGAACUUUGUGACAGGAGUGGCGCAAGUGCGGUGUUGGUUGAAUAUUGUGAUGUUGGUAACUUAAAGAUCACAUGCAGCUUACACCUUGCUUCUGCUUUUGUUCAUCCACGUGAUUUUUCUUUAGUUUUCUGGAAGAAACUAUUACCUAGCUAGUAAUCUAUCUCCAUGGUCUGUCUUCUCCAUGAUUUUUACCUCCAACUGUGGACAAUGCCAUAUAAAGCGGUUCAUCUCUGUUAGGAAACGGUGUUUGGCAGUCGAUACAAUCUUUUGAUAUCUGAUUUUUGAUUGAUCUCAGUAGUUUGAUUUGUAAGGUGUAAAUCAUUUUAGCCAUGUCUCAUCAUGAGUAUGUUGGUGCUGGUCGAGAUGGAUUAAGCUUAUAUGGAAUAGCAUGUGCCUGUUACCCAGGACCAUUCAGUAACUAUUCUGCUUUUUUGGAUGAUAUCUUGACAAUAUAUGGAUUAAGCUUA